GAGCAACAGAGAUCCUGUCAUCACUGUAGAGAAUUUAUUACAACACAAUAAUGAUGACACCCAUCCUCGUAGCCCUCUGGACUUUUGCCUUCUGUGUUAAAGAGUCCUAUGGACAGGUGACUGUGACUCAGACUCCUGCAGUGAAAGCUGUUCAACAGGGAGGAUCAGUCACUCUGAACUGUAAAACCAGCAGUAAUGUGUAUAAUGCAGGGACAUCAUCUCCUUAUUUAGCCUGGUACCAACAGAAAUAUGGAGCAGCUCCUAAACUCCUGAUCUAUUAUGCCAAAACACUUCAGUCUGGGACUCCAUCCAGAUUCAGUGGCAGUGGAACUCACAGUGACUUCACUCUGACCAUCAGUAAUGUCCAGGCUGAGGAUGCAGGAGUUUACUAUUGUCAGAGUUACCAUAGCGUGUUUGUAUCACUGUGGUACACGUUUGGAGGCGGCACUAGACUUGACGUUGGAAGUGACACCCGUCCCAAAGUCACAGUCCUGCCCCCCCUGCACACCAGCGGGACUUCAGCCACGGUGAUGUGCCUGGCUAACGGAGGCUUCCCGUCCAACUGGGCGCUGAGCUGGAAGGUAGAUGGGAGCAGCAGGAGCGGGGAGACCAGUGUGUUUGGCCCACAGAAGGACGGCCUGUACAGCUGGAGCAGCACCCUGACCCUCCCUCUCCAGGAAUGGAACCAGGGCCACGCAGUGACCUGCGAGGCAAAGCACGGCUCCCAGACCGUCACUGAGAUCCUGAAGAAAUCAGACUGCUCCUAGAGUCUCCUCUCCAAUGGCUGCCAUCAGCCUGAUUUAAAGUGUGUCUGAUAGGAACUCUUCAUCUCUGAUAGGAACUCUUCAUCUCUGAUAGGAACUCUGAUAGGAACUCUUCAUCUCUGAUAGGAACUCUUCAUCUCUGAUAGGAACUCUUUUCUUUUAAUUCUGUUAGUCUGCAGAUCUGAGUGGCUCUAUUUCCAUCUCUUCGAUCUGAUCAUCUGAUUUGUUCGCAGGUUUGAACUUGUAAUGUUUUUCAAAAAUGUUUUAAUAAAGGAGUUUGAUGAUGA